rnacentral:rRNA from 1 species
AUACAGAGGGUGCAAGCGUUAUUCGGAAUUACUGGGCGUAAAGCGCGCGUAGGCGGAUGAUUAAGUCAGUUGUGAAAGCCCUGGGCUGAACCUAGGAACUGCAUCUGAUACUGGUCGUCUAGAGUUUAAGAGAGGGAAGUGGAAUUCCAGGUGUAGCAGUGAAAUGCGUAGAUAUCUGGAGGAACAUCAGUGGCGAAGGCGACUUCCUGGCUUAAAACUGACGCUGAGGUGCGAAAGCGUGGGUAGCGAACGGGAUUAGAAACCCUAGUAGUCC